UUUGCGUUUUUGCAAAAUCAGGCCAAUUUUUUAAAUUUUGUAUAUUCGAUCCUAAUUUUAGAAAUGUGAUUAAAAUGCCUUUAUUCUUUUCUCUUUCCUUUCGUUCUCUCAUCCCUUUCAUCUCUUUUGAUGUCGUUAUUGUCGUCAUCGCCCCCUUCCUCUCCCUUCUCCUCCUUUACCGCCUUUCUCCCCCUUCUUCUCCCUUCUUAUCUUCUAACACCAUUGUCAUCGCGGAUCUAGGUUGUUGACGCAAGGGUAAUGAUCUUAGAGGGGGUUCCCUCUCACGAACGGCGAGGUGGAGGUCGAGGAGGACGAGAUUGCGACAACAAUGACAUGCGGGGAUAGAGGAGAAGGAAGGAGAGGAAAGGGAUAUUGAUGU
rnacentral:lncRNA from 1 species